GAGAGAAGAGAGAAGGAAAAGAAAGAAAAAAGAAAGAGAGGGAGGAGAGAGGAGAGAUCACCGAAAUAUUAAAAGAAACCCAAAUAAAAAAAAUCAUCAUUAUCAUCAUUUUCCUCUUCUCUCUCUUUCUUUCCGUUUAUUUAAACUCUCCCUCUUUCUUUAUUCU
rnacentral:miRNA from 1 species